AGAGUUUGAUCAUGGCUCAGAGCGAACGCUGGCGGCAGGCCUAAUACAUGCAAGUCGAGCGCACCUUCGGGUGAGCGGCGGACGGGUGAGUAACGCGUGGGAAUGUGCCCUUUGGUACGGAACAACUGAGGGAAACUUCAGCUAAUACCGUAUGUGCCCUUCGGGGGAAAGAUUUAUCGCCAUUGGAGCAGCCCGCGUUGGAUUAGGUAGUUGGUGAGGUAAAGGCUCACCAAGCCUACGACCCAUAGCUGGUCUGAGAGGAUGAUCAGCCACACUGGGACUGAGACACGGCCCAGACUCCUACGGGAGGCAGCAGUAGGGAAUCUUGCGCAAUGGGCGAAAGCCUGACGCAGCCAUGCCGCGUGAAUGAUGAAGGUCUUAGGAUUGUAAAAUUCUUUCACCGGGGAAGAUAAUGACGGUACCCGGAGAAGAAGCCCCGGCUAACUUCGUGCCAGCAGCCGCGGUAAUACGAAGGGGGCUAGCGUUGCUCGGAAUUACUGGGCGUAAAGGGCGCGUAGGCGGACAUUUAAGUCGGGGGUGAAAGCCCAGGGCUCAACCCUGGAAUAGCCUUCGAUACUGGAUGUCUUGAGUUCGGGAGAGGUGAGUGGAAUGCCGAGUGUAGAGGUGAAAUUCGUAGAUAUUCGGCGGAACACCAGUGGCGAAGGCGACUCACUGGCCCGAUACUGAGCUGAGGCGCGAAAGCGUGGGGAGCAAACAGGAUUAGAUACCCUAGUAGUCC
rnacentral:rRNA from 1 species